rnacentral:rRNA from 1 species
GGAUUAGAUACCCUGGUAGUCCACGCCGUAAACGAUGAGUGCUAGGUGUCUGCUCAUACGAGUAGGUGCCGUACGUUAACACAUUAAGCACUCCGCCUGGGGAGUACGUACGCAAGUAUGAAACUCAAAGGAAUUGACGGGGACCCGCACAAGCAGCGGAGCAUGUGGUUUAAUUCGAGGCUACGCGAAGAACCUUACCAGGACUUGACAUACCAAGGAAAGUUUUUAGAGAUAAAAACCCUAGAUUUAUCUACCUUGGAUACAGGUGGUGCAUGGUUGUCGUCAGCUCGUGCCG